rnacentral:rRNA from 1 species
UGGACCCGUGAUCCGGGUUGCGGACAGUGUCUGGUGGGUAGUUUGACUGGGGCGGUCUCCUCCUAAAGAGUAACGGAGGAGCACGAAGGUUGGCUAAUCCUGGUCGGACAUCAGGAGGUUAGUGCAAUGGCAUAAGCCAGCUUGACUGCGAGCGUGACGGCGCGAGCAGGUGCGAAAGCAGGUCAUAGUGAUCCGGUGGUUCUGAAUGGAAGGGCCAUCGCUCAACGGAUAAAAGGUACUCCGGGGAUAACAGGCUGAUACCGCCCAAGAGUUCAUAUCGACGGCGGUGUUUGGCACCUCGAUGUCGGCUCAUCACAUCCUGGGGCUGAAGUAGGUCCCAAGGGUAUGGCUGUUCGCCAUUUAAAGUGGUACGCGAGCUGGGUUUAGAACGUCGUGAGACAGUUCGGUCCCUAUCUGCCGUGGGCGCUGGAGAACUGAGGGGGGCUGCUCCUAGUACGAGAGGACCGGAGUGGACGCAUCACUGGUGUUCGGGUUGUCAUGCCAAUGGCACUGCCCGGUAGCUAAAUGCGGAAGAGAUAAGUGCUGAAAGCAUCUAAGCACGAAACUUGCCCCGAGAUGAGUUCUCCCUGAGACUUAGAGUCUCCUGAAGGAACGUUGAAGACGACGACGUUGAUAGGCCGGGUGUGUAAGCGCAGCGAUGCGUUGAGCUAACCGGUACUAAUGAACCGUGAGGCUUAACCUUACAACGCCGAAG